rnacentral:lncRNA from 1 species
UAUUUUUAAUAAAAUAUAAAACGUGACUCAGUCAUUUUAAUGUGAUUACUGGUUUAGCAACAGAACCAUGUGACAGAUUAGUGGUUCCUGGAAUUAAAAGGUCAUAUUACAGGAAUAUGUUACUAAGUAACUUAGUUACAGUAAUCAAUGGCUGUCAUUGAUUUAUCAGUAAAAAGCCACAGGAAAUCCCCAACGUUCAAUAACAGGAAGUAGAAAAUGUUUAUAAAGCAUCACCGACAACAGUCGAGAGCUCAUAACCUACUGACUGGUUCUACCUACAGACAGGUUCUACAGACUGGUUCUACCUACAGACUGGUUCUACAGACUGGUUCUACCUACAGACAGGUUCUACAGACUGGUUCUACUGACUGGUUCUACUGACUGGUUCUACUGACUGGUUCUACCUACAGACUGGUUCUACAGACUGGUUCUACCUACAGACAGGUUCUACCUACAGACAGGUUCUACAGACUGGUUCUACUGACUGGUUCUACCUACAGACUGGUUCUACCUACAGACUGGUUCUACCUACAGACAGGUUCUACAGACAGAUGCAGCUCACAAAUGUGGUCAAAGGUAAUUAUUCUCACAGACAUAAUGUAUCACAGCCAGCAGAAUGACUGACUGACUCUGUGUGUGUGUGUGUGUUGCAGCGUUGGGGACAAUGUGUCUGAUGCUAACAGAUGGAUUUCCAGGUACUGCCACACACCUCCUCUAUGUUCAAAGCCUCGUACCGUCCAAUCAGAUUAGACCAUCAUCUUUGUGUUGUUUUUAGUUCUACAGGACAAACCUCCAGAGAUCAUCGGACCACAGCGAGUCCAAGUCCACGUUCGUCUGGGUGAAACGACGCUCCUUCAUUGUGAUGCGUUCGCUAACUGUGACAGUGACGAGACUCUGAUUUACUGGAUCACCAAUAAGUCGUUUCCUGAAGAUACGUUGAACAGUGACAGGAUAGUGGAGUCAGACGAGUCGACCAUGGUGGGCGGGGCCAUCGUACACAGGAGUCUGCUGUUGAGAAGCAUCACAUCAGAGGAUCUAAACUCCACCUUCACAUGUGUCGUAUCCAAUCCUCUGGGAAUCGUAAAGAAAUGUUUUCAACUAACGUCACAUGACUCAACCUAAUAAACAACUACAGAUGGACAACCUUAUCACAGGGGGCGGGGCCACAAAACUGUGAUUGUGUCUGAUCUCAGGGUCACGUGAUCAACAUUGAUGUCAGCAUUAGAAUACCGACCAAUGUGUGUUUUUGUGUAGCUUUGGAAGUCAUUUCUGUGUGUUUGAGUUGCAAUUUUACUCUAAGUCUGUUAUUUUUAUAGUCGUCGUUUGUAUUUUGGUUUUCUAUUUGUGUAACUUUUGGUUGAAUUGGUGUUUUUCUGUUGUUUGUGCAACUAUUGGUUAAUUUUGUGUAUUUUUGUUGUCAUAUAUAUAUAUAUAUACACACACACAUUUUGUGUUUUUUUUUUAAUUUUUUUUUUUUUACCUUUUUAAUAUUUUUCAGUAAAUGUAUUUUUUUGAGCCAAUC